UACAGAGGUCUCAAGCGUUGUUCGGAUUCAUUGGGCGUAAAGGGCUCGUAGGCUGCGGGGCAAGUCGGGUGUGAAAUCUCAGAGCUCAACUCUGAAACUGCACUCGAUACUGCUUUGCUUGAGGACUGGAGAGGAGAUUGGAAUUCACGGUGUAGCAGUGAAAUGCGUAGAUAUCGUGAGGAAGACCAGUGGCGAAGGCGGAUCUCUGGACAGUUCCUGACGCUGAGGCGCGAAGGCCAGGGGAGCAAACGGG
rnacentral:rRNA from 1 species